CAAAUUAGAGCUUGAUAUAAGCAUUUUAUUUACAUUAAAAAGUUUAUCGUGAGAUACGGUUUAAUUUGA
rnacentral:tRNA from 1 species